rnacentral:rRNA from 1 species
AGGGAAUCUUCCACAAUGGACGAAAGUCUGAUGGAGCAACGCCGCGUGGGUGAAGAAGGCCUUCGGGUUGUAAAGCCCUUUUGUUGGGAAAGAAAAGCAGUCGAUUAAUACUCGGUUGUUCUGACGGUACCCAAAGAAUAAGCACCGGCUCACUUCGUGCCAGCAGCCGCGGUAAUACGAAGGGUGCAAGCGUUACUCGGAAUUACUGGGCGUAAAGCGUGCGUAGGUGGUUGUUUAAGUCUGUUGUGAAAGCCCUGGGCUCAACCUGGGAAUUGCAGUGGAUACUGGGCGACUAGAGUGUGGUAGAGGGUAGUGGAAUUCCCGGUGUAGCAGUGAAAUGCGUAGAGAUCGGGAGGAACAUCCAUGGCGAAGGCAGCUACCUGGACCAACACUGACACUGAGGCACGAAAGCGUGGGGAGCAAACA